rnacentral:lncRNA from 1 species
AUGGCUACAUUUGCAAAGGUAGUUCUGUGUGUCCUCAUUGCUUGUGUCUGUAAUGCAUUCUGUUUUCCUAUGAGAGACCGCCAAAGUGAUGUGGUUGUCACCACAACACCCGAUCCCCACAACCAAACCACAUCUGCCCAUACUGAAGCUGGUGGUGCAAGUGAAGAUGCUGUGGCUACUACCCCAGCACCUAAUCCACACAACCAGACAACUUCUGCACAAACUGAAGUUACUGAUGGAGCCAGUGAAGACGCUGUGGACCGCCAAAGUGAUGUGGUUGUCACAACACCCGAUCCCCACAACCAGACUACAUCUGAAGCUGGUGAUGGAGCAAGUGAAGAUGCUGUGGCUACCACCCCAGCACCAAAUCCCCCAAACCAAACUACAUCAGACCACUAA